CGGCGAAUUGUGUGAUUUCCAUGGCAUAGCAACAGUAACAAAUGUGUACACCCAAAGUGUAUUUUUAAUACAUCCAAAGUGUAUUAAAAAAAACAUUAUGAUCAAUAUUAUUGUGUAUGCGGCAGAGCAAUUCCCGAAUCUUCACGACUGCUUGACAGAAGAGGUAAGUAGAUAAGAAUCAGGAGCAUUAACAUUUACGCCCUAGUGUCUGGAGGACAGAACGACAAAAGCUGGGAAACCCCACUGAAGAAACCGGUAGUGCUAUAUAUAUAUAUAUGCUGUUCGUUUAUGUUUCUUUAUCUGUUAGUCGCAGCUUUUAGUUUUCACAGGUUACUCGCGGAGAUCGAAUUAGGCAAUAAUUGUACAGUGGAUCAUCUGACUCCAUUACGAAUCAUUAUCUUAUAUCAAACUCUUUUACAAGAAUUCAUGUGGAAUUUUAAAUGAUUUCGAGGAUCUCUGUGGACAUCAGAUACGUUGGAAUCUUGUUGUGGAUCCUCUGACCUGAUGAGUCUUAUUGUUUCUUCUGACAACUUAUAUUUAAGACAGAGAGAUCAAGCUCGUCAUUAACACCGACGUGUACAUUCGGUGUUUCCUGAAAUCUGCCGCUAUGCAGCUGGAAGCACAGAAAGUUGUAUGUGGCCAGAGCUUGCUGUCCAGUUCCCUCAGAGUGUAUCUGAACAACAAGAACCGACUGCAGCCCAUCAUCGGUCUGAGCUGCAUGACAGAGUGUGUUAAGCUCAGUGGAGGCUCUGAGGCGGUGUACUUGUGUGAUGUGUGUAUGUGUCGUCUCGGUAAGGCCGACGUCCGGAGCCACAUCAUGGGGAGUCUCCACCGAUACAACUACAUCAAAAUCCAUCACCCUCACUUUGUGUCUGAGUGGAAGCAGAGCACUGAGCUGUCCAAGAUGGCUCGGCCUCUUAUGGAGAUGGCUCAAAUACUGGAGAACAAGGAAGGAACCGGGGACGUGCAGGUGCUGAGGUUGGAUGCUGCUAUGUUUGAGGAGGUCACAGCCCACAGUGAGAGUGAUGUUCUCAUCCUGUUGCGUGCUAUCAAGACCGAACAAAAGCGGACGGUGACCCAGGGCCAAUCGGAGGAGGCUUUAGCCGGUUCUGAGUGUUCACUCGUCCCGUCACAGAGAACUGUGAUAUCCCCCGGGAGGCUCCCGGUCCAGCUGGAGAAGGCUGCUGUCCAAAUUGACAGCCAGAGGGGAGGGUUUGUCCACAGAAGCAACCCCCUGCUUGGUGCUUCAGUAAAGCGUCCUGCAUCAGCCUUACCAUGGCCGCACGACAACGGUCUUUCCCUGAUCCAUGAUGACGUCACAGACGGAGGUCAGGUGUUACCGGGCGGGUCUGUGGGGGAGGGGUUUGGACAAGACGGAGUUCCUGCGAAGCUUAUUCGUUGUGAGCCGGUGUUCAAGGUGAGUCUGCCUUUGACUGAUGGCCCCCUGCUGCUGGAGAGGAAUUCCUUUAGCCUGGAACCCUCCCCCGCCUCCCCCGCCUCCCCCAUACACUCACCCGUUCACUCAACCAGCGUAGGUGCCUCGCCCCAGCCCCCUUCCACAUCCUUGCAUUCAGUUGGUCAGCCAAGAAACAGAGCUGCAACGGGACCUGGAAACACACAGAUAGUUGAAUAUAAACGCACUGUCAAUGCCAGAGUCGACACAGCCAGACACAAUCAACAGCUGACUAGGGGAGAGGAACAGAGGGCAACUGACCACGGCCUGUACAUCGGGAGAGAUCAGGACAGAGCUGACCGUCUGUUUUCAAAGAAUACCAGAUUCACCGAUACAAAGUUCGGUGUCCGCGUGAUACAGGACCACAGACUGCGCAGUACUGACCCUGGUGCUGGAGAUACGAUCGCUGACUUAGUGUCUGCUGCCCAACCGAUUUUCCUUACUACUGGUCAUCACUCGGGUUGUGUGGAAGAGGAGAGCUUGACCAACAGUCCUCCAAUGGAUGAAGAACAGGAGGAAGUGAAAGGGAAUAUUUGUCAUUCUGCUAGGGGACAGAGGCUUGCAGAGGACCACAGGACAACAGACUGUCUGUAUUCUACUGGAGAGAGGAUAGCUGACAGUGGGUAUUCCACAGGAAGCAAGUCAAUUGACAGAAUGUACCAAACAGUAGAAAGAUCAACUGACAGUCAGUUCUUUAUAGCAGAAGCGACGUCUGAUCGUGGGUACUCAACUGGAGUGGCGCUUACUGAACGGGGGUACUCAGGAGUGGGGCUAACUGAACGGGGGUACUCUACAGGAGUGGGCCUAACUGAACGGGGGUACUCAGGAGUGGGGCUAACUGAACGUGGGUACUCUUCAGGAGAGGGGCUAACUGAACGGGGGUACUCAGGAGUGGGGCUAACUGAACGGGGGUACUCAGGAGUGGGGCUAACUGAACGGGGGUACUCUUCAGGAGAGGGGCUAACUGAACGGGGGUACUCUUCAGGAGAGGGGCUAACUGAACGGGGGUACUCAGGAGUGGGGCUAACUGAACGUGGGUACUCUUCAGGAGAGGGGCUAACUGAAUGGGGGUACUCUUCAAGAGAGGGGCUAACUGAACGGGGGUACUCUUCAGGAGUGGGGCUAACUGACUGUGAGGUUUUAGAGGAAGAAAAGGGUUUCAGAGAUGAAAUGCAGAAAGGAUGUGGACUUAUUGUAGAGGUCAUGGUGGGGAACCAUAGACGGGGAAGAAAAAGUGAAAAGAAAAAAAGAAAGAGGGAGAAAUCGAACUUUUACAGAAAACAGUACUUUAAAUUGCAGCCUCCAAAACUGCACCAGGCACAGGGUUUCACAGGAGCUCAUAACGGUGCCUCAGGGCUUUGCAUGGUUGACACAGUAGAUCUCCAACAUGGCAUAGCCACCUAUAGAGACCAGACAGAGCCAGUCUACCACAGAGCAGACAUGAGCAGUCAUAAUGAUGUCAUAAGUAGACCUAUGAGUGACCUAGCAGCAAUGUCACAGGUACACUUGGAGUGCAGAAGAUCCUGGCACUAUGAAGGCACACAGCUGACCGCUGAUACUUACAGAACCGGGCCAUGUGAGUAUGAGACCCACCCUAAUCACUCUAACCCUGACCGGUUCAGACCCGAGCCCCUCCGGUACCCGCAUCAUGCUCUGGCCCCAGGGACUAGACCCCAUCUUGACUCUGGUCCUUUCCCCGUGAAGAUUGGGGGCGUUCAGACACCAGGUUAUGAUGGGUUUCCCCGGGCCCUGUCUGUGACGGCUUCUUCACCCCGCCACCCUUGGCCCUGUGAAGUGGAAGGUUAUGGCCCGGCCCCGUCUGACCCAUACCCGCUCCCGAGCCAUGAUCGUUACAGAGAGGUGGCCCGGGGCCACGGGCCUGCCACGUUUCAGUGGACUUUUUCAGCACCACCCCGGUUCUAGCUACCACACGUGUUUUGUAUUUCAUUUACACUAGUCGUUCUCCGACCACUCCUCAGGACGCCCAGAUGUCUCGCAAUUCCUUUUUAACGCUGAACUAGGGACUAGUUGAAAAAUGCAAACUGGUCAAAACUGUAACAUUUGCUGAACAUUUACAUUGCUGUGCAAUGUGCAUGAAAAGUAAAUGAUGAUAAUUAACUAGCUAACCUGAAUUAUAUAGCUGAUAAUGAGUUUACAGAGGUGGCCUGCAGUACGUCAAAUACGUGGAAUGGCUGGGGUGCCCAGGAAACGUUUGAAAACCACUCCUUAAGUUUCACUUUAUGUUGGUUAAAAUGGGCAGGUGUUUUGUGUGUUUGUUUUAUACACUGGAUUUCACCCUGUAAAUGUGAUUUGGAUUUCAUGCCUUCUUGAUUCUUUUAGCUUUUCUGUGUGGGAACGUAUUUUUGUAUGCCGAAUGAAGAUGGAGUUAUAAAAAAAGCAUUGAAUAGUGCCUCAGUAUUUGUCUGUUGUUAAGCCUAUGUGAGCACAUUCUUAGUUUGACAUGCUGUUUAAAGAAUAUGAUACAGAAUAUGCUACGGAGCUGAUCUAUGUUGAAAUUCAGCAAUUUUGCUAAAAUGUUAAAAGGUAAUUGAGGAGAAAUGUUAUUGGGUCUAUUCUAUAGGUUGAAUAUUGAUCUUUCUUGAAGUCCUGAGGGAAGCUUCACCAUGUACAUACAUUUUUAAUUUGGAUCAGCUGAGGAAUCAGCUUGAGGUUCAGUGUGUUGAACAUGUUAUGGACAACACAGGUUUUUUAACUUUCAUUUUCUUACCAAGUAACUUGUCUAUGAGGUUAUAUUAUAUUCAGCAAACAUCCAUGUUGAGCAAUUUCAUAUGGUUAAUUUGCUCAUGUGAAGAUUUUUUCUUUGUAAUUUACAAGUUCCGCACCACCCUGUAAAGUGAUUUGAGGAUUUAUUCUUGUUUGUUUUUUUGUCACUUGUGUGUUGUCACUUGGCCUGUUCUCAAUUGUUCUCCUUACCUCGCCUCCUGAAAACCAGUUUGUAGAGAAGGGCAGGACAUAUGACUUCUCAGCCAGAUGGGGUGCAGAGGCUAUUGUUAAAUAGCAGUUGACCAAACUAAAGCUUCUCACCGCCCAAUAUAUGUUUGUGAAGAACACACUGAAUUGAAGUAAAAUUUUCUAGCAGUUCCUAAUAAAGACUUGAAUAACACCUUUCAUGUAGUAAAUUGUUUUUUAUUUUACUUCAUUCAGUUUCAGGUAAUGUAUUGAAGCUUCUCAUUUCAUUGUCUACCUUUGUGUUGCUGCUGCAUUUGAGCCUAUUUGCUAAUGAAGUCAGUAUUAUCAUUGUCUUGCUUCCUCUAAUUCAAUGAUUCUCUACUGGAUUUAUAUAAACAAGCCACCUUUC
ensembl:lncRNA